UGGGGAAUAUUGCACAAUGGGCGCAAGCCUGAUGCAGCCAUGCCGCGUGUAUGAAGAAGGCCUUCGGGUUGUAAAGUACUUUCAGUCGGGAGGAAGGUGUCAAGGUUAAUAACCUUGGCAAUUGACGUUACCGACAGAAGAAGCACCGGCUAACUCCGUGCCAGCAGCCGCGGUAAUACGGAGGGUGCAAGCGUUAAUCGGAAUUACUGGGCGUAAAGCGCACGCAGGCGGUUGAUUGAGUCAGAUGUGAAAUCCCCGGGCUUAACCCGGGAAUUGCAUCUGAUACUGGUCAGCUAGAGUCUUGUAGAGGGGGGGAGAAUUCCAUGUGUAGCGGUGAAAUGCGUAGAGAUGUGGAGGAAUACCGGUGGCGAAGGCGGCCCCCUGGACAAAGACUGACGCUCAGGUGCGAAAGCGUGGGGAGCAAACAGG
rnacentral:rRNA from 1 species